GGUCGGUCGGCACUUGGGUCACCUUCUGAGGUUGGCAAUGACACACCGAAGUAAUCCUAGUCGGUUCUCCUAGGUUAUAGUGGUUUCAGUGAAAAACAGAAGAAUAAGGAAAGAAAAUCUCAGGAAAUUUUUUUUUUUUUUGGGCUACGGGACUUGCUUUAAUACUAUGAAGAGGAAGGUGUUUUUCUAUUAAUUUCAAUUAAGAGUAGAUAGGUAUUUAUAUACAAAGAAUACU
rnacentral:misc_RNA from 1 species